rnacentral:rRNA from 1 species
GAUGAACGCUAGGCUACAGGCUUAACACAUGCAAGUCGAGGGGAAACGACAUCGAAAGCUUGCUUUCGAUGGGCGUCGACCGGCGCACGGGUGAGUAACGCGUAUCCAACCUGCCUUUCAGAGGGGGGAUAACGUUCUGAAAAGAACGCUAAUACCGCAUAAGAUUGUAGUUUCGCAUGGGACAGCAAUCAAAGGAGCAAUCCGCUGAAAGAUGGACUCGCGUCCGAUUAGAUAGUUGGCGGGGUAACGGCCCACCAAGUCGACGAUCAGUAGGGGUUCUGAGAGGAAAGUCCCCCACAUUGGAACUGAGACACGGUCCAAACUCCUACGGGGAGGCAGCAGUGAGGAAUAUUGGUCAAUGGGCGGAAGCCUGAACCAGCCAAGUAGCGUGCAGGACGACGGCCCUAUGGGUUGUAAACUGCUUUUUAUGCGGGGAUAAAGUGGGCCACGCGUGGCCUUUUGCAGGUACCGCAUGAAUAAGGACCGGCUAAUUCCGUG